rnacentral:lncRNA from 1 species
UUUUGUCACGAAAUAAUUGGUAUACUUGACAACAAAUUUUUCUUUAUUUCAAUCAAGAAUAUACCUCUUAGAUUUUUCAGAUAUAAGUUAUGUCAUGUGUUGGGUCAUCUAUGUUACACGUCUUGUGGUUCUGAGUGAUUAAGAGUUGUUUGGGGCAUUAGGUUUGCACCUUUUUAAGGUGCCUGGUACAACCUUAUUCUGAUAGAGAAAUAAAGCCAACAAGCUAAACUAUUCUUGCUACUUCUCAAUUCUGUCAAAAUGCUGCAACUUUCUCCUUUUUUUGCCAUCCAUUUCGGGAGGAUAUAAAAGACUAAACCAUUUUUUUCUGAUGUAAUGUGCUCGUGAAGCCAUGUGUGUACAAAUAAGUGCUUUUACAGUUGUGGAGGUGUACUUAUCUGUAGUCAUGAAUAAUGCCACAAAAACAUGAAGACCCAAACAACACCCAAUUCGGUUCUGGCUAUUUCUUUUUGCACCGGGUGGUUAAAAGACUAAACAGCCCUUCUGCCACCCCUUGCGUCACCUUGUUCUUAUGUUACUCUUAUAUCGAUAAAUUUAAGA